rnacentral:rRNA from 1 species
CCUACGGGGGGCUGCAGUGGGGAAUAUUGGACAAUGGGGGCAACCCUGAUCCAGCCAUGCCGCGUGUGUGAAGAAGGCCCUCGGGUUGUAAAGCACUUUCAGUGAGGAAGAACGCCUGGUGGUUAAUACCCAUCAGGAAAGACAUCACUCACAGAAGAAGCACCGGCUAACUCCGUGCCAGCAGCCGCGGUAAUACGGAGGGUGCGAGCGUUAAUCGGAAUUACUGGGCGUAAAGCGCGCGUAGGUGGCUUGAUAAGCCGGUUGUGAAAGCCCCGGGCUCAACCUGGGAACGGCAUCCGGAACUGUCAAGCUAGAGUGCAGGAGAGGAAGGUAGAAUUCCCGGUGUAGCGGUGAAAUGCGGAGAGAUCGGGAGGAAUACCAGUGGCGAAGGCGGCCUUCUGGACUGACACUGACACUGAGGUGCGAAAGCGUGGGUAGCAAACAGGAUUAGAUACCCCGGUAGUC